rnacentral:rRNA from 1 species
UAAGUUAAUAAGGGCGCACGGUGGAUGCCUUGGCACUAGGAGCCGACGAAGGACGUGACAAACGACGAUAUGCCUUGGGUAGCUGUAAGUAAGCGAUGAUCCAGGGAUUUCCGAAUGGGGGAACCCAACAGGUAAUACCUGUUACCUACAUCUGUUAAGGAUGUGAGGAGGAAGACGCAGUGAACUGAAACAUCUAAGUAGCUGCAGGAAGGGAAAGCAAAAGCGAUUGCCUUAGUAGCGGCGAGCGAAACGGCAGAAGGGCAAACCGAAGAGUUUACUCUUCGGGGUUGUAGGACUGCAAUGUGGACUCAAAGAUUAUAGAAGAAUGAUUUGGGAAGAUCAGCCAAAGAGAGUAAUAGCCUCGUAUUUAAAAUAGUCUUUGUACUUAGCAGUAUCCUGAGUACGGCGGGACACGUGAAAUCCCGUCGGAAUCUGGGAGGACCAUCUCCCAACCCUAAAUACUCCCUAGUGACCGAUAGUGAACCAGUACCGUGAGGGAAAGGUGAAAAGCACCCCGGGAGGGGAGUGAAAUAGAACCUGAAACCGUGUGCCUACAACAAGUUCGAGCCCGUUAAUGGGUGAUAGCGUGCCUUUUGUAGAAUGAACCGGCGAGUUACGUUAUGAUGCGAGGUUAAGUUGAAGAGACGGAGCCGUAGGGAAACCGAGUCUGAAUAGGGCGCCUUAGUAUCAUGACGUAGACCCGAAACCAUGUGACCUACCCAUGAGCAGGUUGAAGGUGCGGUAAGACGCACUGGAGGACCGAACCAGGGCACGUUGAAAAGUGCUUGGAUGACUUGUGGGUAGCGGAGAAAUUCCAAACGAACUUGGAGAUAGCUGGUUCUCUCCGAAAUAGCUUUAGGGCUAGCGUCGACAUUAGAGAUUCUUGGAGGUAGAGCACUGUUUGGGUGAGGGGUCCAUCCCGGAUUACCAAUCUCAGAUAAACUCCGAAUGCCAAUGAAUUAUGGUCGGCAGUCAGACUGCGAGUGCUAAGAUCCGUAGUCGAAAGGGAAACAGCCCAGACCACCAGCUAAGGUCCCAAAAUAAUUGUUAAGUGGAAAAGGAUGUGGGGUUGCACAGACAACUAGGAUGUUAGCUUAGAAGCAGCUAUUCAUUCAAAGAGUGCGUAAUAGCUCACUAGUCGAGUGACCUUGCGCCGAAAAUGUACCGGGGCUAAAACAAUUUACCGAAGCUGUGGAUACCUUUAUAGGUAUGGUAGGAGAGCGUUCUAUGUGUGAUGAAGGUAUACCGUGAGGAGUGCUGGAACGCAUAGAAGUGAGAAUGCCGGUAUGAGUAGCGAAAGACAGGUGAGAAUCCUGUCCACCGUAAGACUAAGGUUUCCAGGGGAAGGCUCGUCCGCCCUGGGUUAGUCGGGACCUAAGGAGAGACCGAAAGGUGUAUCCGAUGGACAACAGGUUGAUAUUCCUGUACUAGAGUAUGUAGUGGUGGAGGGACGCAGUAGGCUAACUAAAGCAGACGAUUGGAAGAGUCUGUCUAAGCAGUGAGGUGUGAAUUGAGUCAAAUGCUUAAUUCUAUAACAUUGAGCUGUGAUGGGGAGCGAAGUUUAGUAGCGAAGUUAGUGACGUCACACUGCCAAGAAAAGCUUCUAGCGUUUAAACAUACUCUACCCGUACCGCAAACCGACACAGGUAGUCGAGGCGAGUAGCCUCUGGUGAGCGAGAGAACUCUCGUUAAGGAACUCGGCAAAAUGACCCCGUAACUUCGGGAGAAGGGGUGCUGACUUAAAGUCAGCCGCAGUGAAUAGGCCCAAGCAACUGUUUAUCAAAAACACAGCUCUCUGCUAAAUCGUAAGAUGAUGUAUAGGGGGUGACGCCUGGCCGGUGCUGGAAGGUUAAGAGGAGUGCUUAGCGUAAGCGAAGGUAUGAAUUGAAGCCCCAGUAAACGGCGGCCGUAACUAUAACGGUCCUAAGGUAGCGAAAUUCCUUGUCGGGUAAGUUCCGACCCGCACGAAAGGCGUAAUGAUUUGGGCACUGUCUCAACGAGAGACUCGGUGAAAUUUUAGUACCUGUGAAGAUGCAGGUUACCCGCGACAGGACGGAAAGACCCCAUGGAGCUUUACUGCAGUUUGAUAUUGAGUGUCUGUACCACAUGUACAGGAUAGGUAGGAGUCUAAGAGAUCGGGACGCCAGUUUCGAAGGAGACGCUGUUGGGAUACUACCCUUGUGUUAUGGCCACUCUAACCCAGAUAGGUGAUCCCUAUCGGAGACAGUGUCUGACGGGCAGUUUGACUGGGGCGGUCGCCUCCUAAAAGGUAACGGAGGCGCCCAAAGGUUCCCUCAGAAUGGUUGGAAAUCAUUCGCAGAGUGUAAAGGUAUAAGGGAGCUUGACUGCGAGAGCUACAACUCGAGCAGGGACGAAAGUCGGGCUUAGUGAUCCGGUGGUUCCGUAUGGAAGGGCCAUCGCUCAACGGAUAAAAAGCUACCCUGGGGAUAACAGGCUUAUCUCCCCCAAGAGUUCACAUCGACGGGGAGGUUUGGCACCUCGAUGUCGGCUCGUCGCAUCCUGGGGCUGUAGUCGGUCCCAAGGGUUGGGCUGUUCGCCCAUUAAAGCGGCACGCGAGCUGGGUUCAGAACGUCGUGAGACAGUUCGGUCCCUAUCCGUCGCGGGCGUAGGAAAUUUGAGAGGAUCUGCUCCUAGUACGAGAGGACCAGAGUGGACUUACCGCUGGUGUACCAGUUGUCUUGCCAAAGGCAUCGCUGGGUAGCUAUGUAGGGAAGGGAUAAACGCUGAAAGCAUCUAAGUGUGAAACCCACCUCAAGAUGAGAUUUCCCAUGAUUAUAUAUCAGUAAGAGCCCUGAGAGAUGAUCAGGUAGAUAGGUUAGAAGUGGAAGUGUGGCGACACAUGUAGCGGACUAAUACUAAUAGCUCGAGGACUUAUCCA